rnacentral:misc_RNA from 1 species
UCCGAGUUGUCCCCGGCAGUCUCCUUAGAGUCCCCGGCAUUACCCGCUGGCAACUAAGGACAGGGGUUGCGCUCGUUGCGGCACUUAACCCAACAUCUCACGACACGAGCUGACGACAGCUAUGCAGCAUCUGUGCACGCUCCCUUGCGGGUCCCUUCCCUUUCAGGUUGGUACCACGUGCAUGUCAAGCCUAGGUAAGGUUCUGCGCGUUGCGUCGAAUUAAACCACAUGCUCCACCGCUUUUGCGGGCCCCCGUCAAUUCCUUUGAGUUUCAGCCUUGCGGCCGUACUCCCCAGGCGGGGCACUUAAUGCGUUAGCGCCGGCACCCAGGGGGUCGCUCCCCCAGGCACCUAGUGCCCAUCGUUUACGGCGUGGACUAC